CCUACGGGAGGCAGCAGUGAGGAAUAUUGGUCAAUGGACGAGAGUCUGAACCAGCCAAGUAGCGUGAAGGAUGACUGCCCUAUGGGUUGUAAACUUCUUUUAUAUGGGAAUAAAAUGAUCCACGUGUGGGAUUUUGUAUGUAAUAUAUGAAUAAGGAUCGGCUAACUCCGUGCCAGAAGCCUCGGUAAUACGGAGGCUCCGAGCGUUAUCCGGAUUUAUUGGGUUUAAAGGGAGCGUAGGUGGCUUGUUAAGUCAGUUGUGAAAGUUUUCGGCUCAACCGGAAAAUUGCAUUUGACACUGGCAGUCUUGAGUACAGUCGAGGUAGGCGGAAUUCGUGGUGUAGCGGUGAAAUGCUUAGAUAUCACGAAGAACUCCGAUUGCGAAGGCAGUUCACUGGACUGCAACUGACACUGAGGCUCGAAAGUGUGGGUAUCAAACAGGAUUAGAUACCCGAGUAGUC
rnacentral:rRNA from 1 species